rnacentral:rRNA from 1 species
UACGUAGGUGGCAAGCGUUGUCCGGAGUUAUUGGGCGUAAAGCGCGCGCAGGCGGUGCGGUAAGUCUCUGGUGAAAGCGCUCGGCUUAACUGGGCGAGGGCCGGGGAGACUGCCACGCUGGAGGGGAGCAGAGGCGAGUGGAAUUCCGGGUGUAGUGGUGAAAUGCGUAGAGAUCCGGAGGAACACCAGUGGCGAAGGCGGCUCGCUGGGCUCUACCUGACGCUGAGGCGCGAAAGCGUGGGGAGCGAA